rnacentral:rRNA from 1 species
ACGGGAGGCAGCAGUGGGGAAUAUUGCACAAUGGGGGAAACCCUGAUGCAGCGAUGCCGCGUGGAGGAAGAAGGUUUUCGGAUUGUAAACUCCUGUCGUAAGGGACGAUAAUGACGGUACCUUACAAGAAAGCUCCGGCUAACUACGUGCCAGCAGCCGCGGUAAUACGUAGGGAGCGAGCGUUGUCCGGAAUUACUGGGUGUAAAGGGAGCGUAGGCGGGACAGCAAGUCAGAUGUGAAAUAUACGUGCUCAACAUGUAGACUGCAUUUGAAACUGUUGUUCUUGAGUGAGGUAGAGGUAAGCGGAAUUCCUGGUGUAGCGGUGAAAUGCGUAGAGAUCAGGAGGAACAUCGGUGGCGAAGGCGGCUUACUGGGCCUUUACUGACGCUGAGGCUCGAAAGCGUGGGGAGCAAACAGGAUUAGAUACCCUGGUA